rnacentral:rRNA from 1 species
UCUGUUUGAUCCUGCCAGAGGUUACUGCUAUCGGUGUUCGCCUAAGCCAUGCGAGUCAUAUGUUCUUCGUGAACAUGGCGUACUGCUCAGUAACACGUGGAUAACCUGCCCUUGGGUCCGGCAUAACUCCGGGAAACUGGAGAUAAUUCCGGAUAACGCAUAUGUGCUGGAAUGCUUUAUGCGUAAAAUGGAUUCGUCUGCCCAAGGAUGGGUCUGCGGCCUAUCAGGUAGUAGUGGGUGUAAUGUACCUACUAGCCAACAACGGGUACGGGUUGUGAGAGCAAGAGCCCGGAGAUGGAUUCUGAGACAUGAAUCCAGGCCCUACGGGGCGCAGCAGGCGCGAAAACUUUACAAUGCGGGAAACCGUGAUAAGGGGACACCGAGUGCCAGCGUCAUACGCUGGCUGUCCAGGUGUGUAAAAUACACCUGUUAGCAAGGGCCGGGCAAGACCGGUGCCAGCCGCCGCGGUAACACCGGCGGCCCGAGUGGUGAUCGUGAUUAUUGGGUCUAAAGGGUCCGUAGCCGGUUUGGUCAGUCCUCCGGGAAAUCUGACAGCUCAACUGUUAGGCUUUCGGGGGAUACUGCCAGACUUGGAACCGGGAGAGGUAAGAGGUACUACAGGGGUAGGAGUGAAAUCUUGUAAUCCCUGUGGGACCACCUGUGGCGAAGGCGUCUUACCAGAACGGGUUCGACGGUGAGGGACGAAAGCUGGGGGCACGAACCGGAUUAGAUACCCGGGUAGUCCCAGCCGUAAACGAUGCUCGCUAGGUGUCAGGCAUGGCGCGACCGUGUCUGGUGCCGCAGGGAAGCCGUGAAGCGAGCCACCUGGGAAGUACGGCCGCAAGGCUGAAACUUAAAGGAAUUGGCGGGGGAGCACAACAACGGGUGGAGCCUGCGGUUUAAUUGGACUCAACGCCGGACAACUCACCGGGGACGACAGCAAAAUGUAGGCCAGGCUGAAGACCUUGCCUGAAUCGCUGAGAGGAGGUGCAUGGCCGUCGCCAGUUCGUACUGUGAAGCAUCCUGUUAAGUCAGGCAACGAGCGAGACCCAA